CUUCGCUCUCCCCCCCACAAUAACGAGAGCCACACCAGAGGCCAGAGCUGUGCUGUCUCAGCAAGCAAAGGGCAAAGGAGGCAACGAGAUGCUGUAGGGACUCUGACUCUUGCUGCCAGGCUGCAACAAGAGGAAGGGAGAUUCUGGCCCCCAACAGGUGAAAACAAGAGAGGAGCAAGGCAGGAAGCACAAAAGCAAACCUCUCUCAUGAAGGAAACAGCACAACUUCAAGCACAGCUUUCAGCACAGCAUACCAAGGAGGAACAGAAAUCCCAAGCAGAGCAGAGGGGAGGAGUGGCUUAGAGAAAAGCAAAAGCACCCCACAAAGCACACAGCCAAAACACCACCCCACAAAGGACACAGCCAACCUACCCCCGCAAAGGGGAGCAGCCAAAGGCUUCUGCCUCUCCUGGGGCAACUUAAAAAGGGGAGGUCAAUUGAAGUCUCCUCCCACCCCAGCUGUGGCCACUUUGCCCUCCCUGCUCAGUGCCCUUUAUAAGCAGAGCAGGAGGAGCCCAGCCCCAAGCUGGGCCCAUUGCGGGCCAAGGGAUCCUCCGCCUGGCAUCCCAGGAGGUUGGAUCCUCGAGGGUUUUGCUCUGGGUUCUGCGAUGGAGGCAAAGAUGGAGCAGGAGCACCAACUGGAGCUGGUAAUGGACCAGCAGCAGCAGCUGGUAAUGGAACUGGUAAUGGAGCAGAAGCUGGUAACGUAGAGUGGAGAGGAGGAGGAGGAAAGCAGCAGAGACUGCCCGGGGGAAGGCAGAGAGUGGGGGAGGAUGGCAGGGGCUGCCCGGGGAAAGGUGGAGGGCAGCGGCAGGAGGGCAGGGAAGAGGUACAGAGCUUUCAGAUGCUGAGCUUCAACAGAAAGACCUGAUGGAAAAGAAAAGAGACUAACUUGUUUAGCAAAAGUACUCUCUGGAAUUUCCCAAAUCACUUAUUUAUUGAA